GGCAAAGGACCUAGUGUUUGGGACACAUUUACUCAUGAGUAUCCAGAAAGGAUAAAGGAUCACAGCACCGGAGAUGUUGCAGUUGAUUUCUAUCACCGCUACAAAGAAGAUAUACAAAACGUGAAGAGUAUGGGUUUUAAUGCUUUCAGAUUCUCCAUUUCCUGGCCAAGAGUUAUACCUAG